UAGGAGCUUGCUCCUGCUGGAUUAGUGGCGAACGGGUGAGUAACACGUGAGCAAUCUGCCCCUGACUCUGGGAUAAGCGUUGGAAACGACGUCUAAUACCGGAUACGAACUGAGAUCGCAUGGUCAUCAGUUGGAAAGAACUUCGGUCAGGGAUGAGCUCGCGGCCUAUCAGCUAGUUGGUGAGGUAAUGGCCCACCAAGGCGACGACGGGUAGCCGGCCUGAGAGGGUGACCGGCCACACUGGGACUGAGACACGGCCCAGACUCCUACGGGAGGCAGCAGUGGGGAAUAUUGCACAAUGGGCGCAAGCCUGAUGCAGCAACGCCGCGUGAGGGACGAAGGCCUUCGGGUUGUAAACCUCUUUUAGCAGGGAAGAAGCGAAAGUGACGGUACCUGCAGAAAAAGCACCGGCUAACUACGUGCCAGCAGCCGCGGUAAUACGUAGGGUGCAAGCGUUGUCCGGAAUUAUUGGGCGUAAAGAGCUCGUAGGCGGUUUGUCGCGUCUGCUGUGAAAAUCCGAGGCUCAACCUCGGACCUGCAGUGGGUACGGGCAAACUAGAGUGCGGUAGGGGAGAUUGGAAUUCCUGGUGUAGCGGUGGAAUGCGCAGAUAUCAGGAGGAACACCAAUGGCGAAGGCAGAUCUCUGGGCCGUAACUGACGCUGAGGAGC
rnacentral:rRNA from 1 species